rnacentral:lncRNA from 1 species
CUACCCAGCAUGCUGAAGCAGGAGAAUUGCGGGAACCCAGGAGGCAGAGGCUGCAGUGAGCUGAGAUCGCACCACUGCACUCCAGCCUGGUUGACAGAACAAGACUCCGUCUCAAUAAAAACAACAACAACAAAAAAAACCCACCACCACUAACAGCAACCAAAAAAAACCAACUCUUUGCAGCUGAAAUCAAGACAUGACUGAGGAGAACUCAAAAAACCUAGAUGAAGAGAGGAAGGAGAUGGUGUCACUGGAGCAGCACGUGAUUAGAGGCCACCCAGCGGAUCUGAACUGCUGUGGACCUGUCCCAUGGGAGCUGGGGCUGCAAAGGACAGGGCUGUUUGGCAAGACAUGAAGCCACGUAGAAGACGGGCGCUGAGGAGAUGCUACCUGAAACAGAGAGGAGGACCAACACCUUGACCUCUUCCUCUGCCAGAGCCUACCCCUGGUUGAUUCUCUGCCAGAACUGGAGGGCCCAGGCACCCCGGAAAUGCAGUGCCCUUUGUUCCCUGUGAAAAGGAGCAGAGCAC